GGAAAGGUAUGCUGCAGCAAAAGCAAUUAUGUUUUGAUGGGCGAGGGGGCGGGGCUUCGGAUGGGCAUGGGGGCGGAGCCUCGGAGAUAUCUUGACAGGAGGGUCUUGACAGGAGGCUGCUGUCUUUUAGGAGAGCUGGGUCCCUGGAUGUCAGAGCUGAGGGGGCAUGCAAACCAUGUGAGUAGCAGCCCACACCAGGCCCCGAGGUCUGCUAUGACCACCACAACGGCAAGCUGCUGCUGGGAGCCCCGACCAAGCACCUUCUGAGCCCCCCUCCCCUUCUGUUGCCCAAUCCCCUUCUCCUUCCCAGUCCCCUUCUCAGCCCUCCUCCCCUUCUGUUGCCCAAUACCCCUCUCCUUCCCAGUCCCCUUCUCAGCCCCCCUCCCCUUCUGUCACCCAAUCCCCUUCUCCUUCCCAGUCCCCUUCUCAGCCCCCCUCCCCUUCUGUCACCCAAUCCCCUUCUCCUUCCCAGUCCCCUUCUCAGCCCCCCUCCCCUUCUGUCACCCAAUCCCCUUCUCCUUCCCAGUCCCCUUCUCAGCCCCCCUCCCCUUCUGUCGCCCAAUCCCCUUCUUCUUCCCAGUCCCCUUCUCAGCCCCCCUCCCCCUCUCUUUACCAAUACCCAUCUCUGUCCCCCUCCCCCUCUGAAGGCGGCCAAACAACCACUCCAGCCAUCUCCCCCUCUUUCCCAGACCCCCUCUCUGGCUCCCUCCCCCUCUGUUGCCCAAACACCCUCUCCGCCCCCCUCUUAAUCAGACCCACCCUCUGAAAGCAGGUCCCCAGUCCCUCCUCCUUCCCCAAUCCCUCCUCCUUCCCCAAUCCAGCCGCCUUCCCCCAUCCAGCCGCCUUCCCCCAUCCAGCCGCCUUCCCCACCCAGUGAAUGGGCCAAAGAAGCCCCUGCGGAUAUUCCGGGGAGUCCGCAUGUGGCAGAUGCGAAUGCAGCAGUUGGAGAUCCCAACAGUUUGCCCGCACUUUUCCAGCACCUAAAAGGCAAUUUGAGGGCAGUAAUUGCCGAUAUAGAGGCAAUC